GAAAUCCAGGGACAAGGUUUAGAAAACCACGAGGAAAAAGUUAGGAGCCAGAACAUCCAAAAGCAGAGCUUGAAGUAUUAUAUAUCCUUGCAGGAAAAAAGGAAAAUACAUGCCCACCAACAUGAUAAAAAGCAACCAACUGGAUGUCACAAAACAAAAGUAAUUGUUGUGAUCAGAUAUGAAAUAGAGCUCUUAAAAAAUAUUGAACAGGACAACCCAUCACCUACCCAAGUCAAAACUAAACUAACAAAUCAGCCCCCUCAUCUUGUCUCCACAUUUCCCGCUCAAGAAAAACACUGCACAUCACAAUGGCAGUAACAUGCCAACCUCAACGUGCAUUAAAUGUCUGUCAGUUGAAAUAGCUUAAAACCAUACUCCUUUUCUCCUUUCAUCAGCAUGCUAAACCCACCCACCCUCAAUUAUCUCAACUGAAACAUCCAAAUGCAUGUCCACACCUUAAUUAUUGGGGG